GUAAGGAAUAUUGGUCAAUGGACGAAAGUCUGAACCAGCCAUGCCGCGUGAAGGAUGAAGGCCCUCUGGGUUGUAAACUUCUUUUAUCUGGGACGAAAAAAGGGUAUUCUUACUCACUUGACGGUACCAGAGGAAUAAGCACCGGCUAACUCCGUGCCAGCAGCCGCGGUAAUACGGAGGGUGCAAGCGUUAUCCGGAUUCACUGGGUUUAAAGGGUGCGUAGGUGGGUAUUUAAGUCAGUGGUGAAAUCUCCGAGCUUAACUCGGAAACUGCCAUUGAUACUAUUUACCUUGAAUGCCCUGGAGGUAAGCGGAAUAUGUCAUGUAGCGAUGAAAUGCUUAGAUAUGACAUAGAACACCAAUUGCGAAGGCAGCUUACUACGGGGUGAUUGACACUGAGGCACGAAAGCGUGGGGAGCAAACAGGAUUAGAUACCCGGGUAGUCC
rnacentral:rRNA from 1 species